rnacentral:rRNA from 1 species
AUUGAACGCUGGCGGCAUGCCUUACACAUGCAAGUCGAACGGCAGCGCGGGAGCAAUCCUGGCGGCGAGUGGCGAACGGGUGAGUAAUAUAUCGGAACGUGCCCAGUAGUGGGGGAUAACUAGUCGAAAGAUUAGCUAAUACCGCAUACGAUCUACGGAUGAAAGCGGGGGAUCGCAAGACCUCGUGCUAUUGGAGCGGCCGAUAUCUGAUUAGCUAGUUGGUGAGGUAAAGGCUCACCAAGGCGACGAUCAGUAGCUGGUCUGAGAGGACGACCAG